AUUGAACGCUGGCGGCAGGCCUAACACAUGCAAGUCGCACGAGUGGCGGACGUGUGAGUAAUGUCUGGGAAACUGCCUGAUGUAGGGGGAUAACUACUGGCAACGGUAGAUAAUACCGAAUACCAUUCACUGUGCCCAGAUGGGAUUAGCGUGUUGGUGGUGUAACGGCUCACCAAGUCCACGAUGCCUAGCUGUUCUGAGAGGAUGACCAGCCACACUGGAACUGAGACACGGUCCAGACUCCUACGGUAGGCAGCAGUGGGGAAUAUUGCACAAUGGGCGCAAGCCUGAUGCAGCAAUGCCGCGUGUAUGAAGAAGGCCUUCGGGUUGUAAAGUACUUUCAGCGGGGAGGCGUUACCCGCAGAAGAAGCACCGGCUAACUCCGUGCCAGCAGCCGCGGUAAUUC
rnacentral:rRNA from 1 species